rnacentral:tRNA from 1 species
UAGCUCAGUCAGUGAAGCAUCUGCCUGUAAUGCAGGAGACCCGGGUUUGAUUCCUGG